UCUCCUCCUCCUCCUCCUCCUCCUCCUCCUCUUCACCCUCUCCCUCAGUAGCUCACCAACCGUCAAAGGGAGAGGAUGCACGCCGCUCUCUCUCCCGCCGGCUUUUAACAUUAAUCAAAAUAUCUCCUUAAAUAACGAUAAUAGUAAUAGUUUCGAUAGAUAGAAGGUUGACUAACGAACUAUUACAUCUAUUAAAAACUAUUACGAUCGGUGUUUACGUGGAAAUCGGGAAAGUUUACAAGGAGGAGAAGACAAAGAAGACAAGUUUUUAGAUUAACAGGAAAAAAGGAAGAAAAAGUUAGAAAAAGA